rnacentral:piRNA from 1 species
UGUAAUAUAAUUCUACAAUGUAC